GAGGCUGAGGCAGGAGAAUCGCUUGAACUCUGGAGUCGGAGUUUGCAGUGAGCCGAGGUCACACCACUGCACUCCAGCCUGGGCGACAGAGUGAGACUCUGUCUCAAAAAAAAAAAAAAAGAUUAACUUUGUCUUUGUCUUUAUUUGUCCAUUUACAAAUCACUUGAUUGGCAAAUUUACAGCCCUUGGGAAUUAGGGAAAGAGGCGCAUUGGAUGGGGAGAGAUGAUAUUCUGGAGUCUGAUUUUAGUAUCUUUCAGGGCUUAGGGUUUCUCUUCGUAUGCUUUAGGCAUUGUUGAGGUUAUGGACAGGCCAAUUGUUGCCUUCAGUUUUGUUUCUUUACAGCAUUUUCUUUCUGCAAUCCAGAGUUUAGAAUAAUCUUGAUUUUUAGAAGACACUUAGAACUGGCAUGUAGCUCGUAGAACAUUAUACAUCAAGAAAAGCUCUCUAGUAUCUUACUUAAGGAUCUAUUCAGAUUCCUAAGGAAUCUCCACUGAGCGAUUCUCAGCCAGCUAGC
rnacentral:lncRNA from 1 species